GACGAACGCUGGCGGCGUGCCUAAUACAUGCAAGUCGAGCGAAUCUUGAGGUGCUUGCACCUCUUGGUUAGCGGCGGACGGGUGAGUAACACGUGGGCAACCUGCCUGUAAGACUGGGAUAACUUCGGGAAACCGGAGCUAAUACCGGAUAAUCCUUUUCCUUUCAUGAGGAAACGCUGAAAGUAGGUUUUUCGCUGACACUUACAGAUGGGCCCGCGGCGCAUUAGCUAGUUGGUGAGGUAACGGCUCACCAAGGCGACGAUGCGUAGCCGACCUGAGAGGGUGAUCGGCCACACUGGGACUGAGACACGGCCCAGACUCCUACGGGAGGCAGCAGUAGGGAAUCUUCCGCAAUGGACGAAAGUCUGACGGAGCAACGCCGCGUGAGCGAUGAAGGCCUUCGGGUCGUAAAGCUCUGUUGUUAGGGAAGAACAAGUAUCGGAGUAACUGCCGGUACCUUGACGGUACCUAACCAGAAAGCCACGGCUAACUACGUGCCAGCAGCCGCCGUAA
rnacentral:rRNA from 1 species